rnacentral:misc_RNA from 1 species
GAUGAAGAACGCAGCGAAAUGCGAUAAGUAAUGUGAAUUGCAGAAUUCAGUGAAUCAUCGAAUCUUUGAACGCACAUUGCGCCCGCCAGUAUUCUGGCGGGCAUGCCUGUUCGAGCGUCAUUACAACCCUCAGGCCCCCGGGCCUGGCGUUGGGGAUCGGCGGAAGCCCCCUGCGGGCACAACGCCGUCCCCCAAAUACAGUGGCGGUCCCGCCGCAGCUUCCAUUGCGUAGUAGCUAACACCUCGCAACUGGAGAGCGGCGCGGCCACGCUGUAAAACACCCAACUUCUGAAUGUUGACCUCGAAUCAGGUAGGAAUACCCGCUGAACUUAAGCAUAUCAAUAAGCGGAGGA